AGGACGAACGCUGGCGGCGUGCUUAACACAUGCAAGUCGAGCGGAAAGGCCCUUCGGGGUACUCGAGCGGCGAACGGGUGAGUAACACGUGAGUAACCUGUCCUUAGCUUUGGGAUAACCCUCGGAAACGGGGGCUAAUACCGGAUAUGACAUGCCUCUGCAUGGUGGUGUGUGGAAAGUUUUUCGGCUAGGGGUGGGCUCGCGGCCUAUCAGCUUGUUGGUGGGGUAAUGGCCUACCAAGGCGACGACGGGUA
rnacentral:rRNA from 1 species